GACGAACGCUGGCGGCGUGCUUAACACAUGCAAGUCGAACGGAAAGGCCCUGCUUUUGUGGGGUGCUCGAGUGGCGAACGGGUGAGUAACACGUGAGUAACCUGCCCUUGACUUUGGGAUAACUUCAGGAAACUGGGGCUAAUACCGGAUAGGAGCUCCUGCUGCAUGGUGGGGGUUGGAAAGUUUCGGCGGUUGGGGAUGGACUCGCGGCUUAUCAGCUUGUUGGUGGGGUAGUGGCCUACCAAGGCUUUGACGGGUAGCCGGCCUGGGCGGGUGACCGGCCAGAUGGGGACUGAGAUACGGCCCAGACUCCUACGGGAGGCAGCAGGGGGGAAUAGUGCACGAUGGGCGGAAGCCUGAUGCAGCAACGCCGCGUGCGGGAUGACGGCCUUCGGGUUGUAAACCGCUUUCGCCUGUGACGAAGCGUGAGUGACGGUAAUGGGUAAAGAAGCACCGGCUAACUACGUG
rnacentral:rRNA from 1 species